CACCUCUCAAGGUCACACCUGGCGAGUUUCCAGUACUCUACCAGUCUCGACUGUGGGAGGGAGAGUCAAGCAGAGGCCUACCUAUCCAUUCUUAGCUUGGCCAGUGGCUAGCGAGUAGAAGGCCAUCUGCUACAAGU
rnacentral:snoRNA from 1 species